UACGAAGGUCCCAAGCGUUAUCCGGAUUUAUUGGGUUUAAAGGGUGCGUAGGCGGCUUAUUAAGUCAGUGGUGAAAGCCCCAAGCUUAACUUGGGAACUGCCAUUGAUACUGAUGAGCUUGAGUAGAUUUGAGGCGGGCGGAAUGUGUCGUGUAGCGGUGAAAUGCUUAGAUAUGACACAGAACACCAAUUGCGUAGGCAGCUCGCUAAACUCUUACUGACGCUGAGGCACGAAAGCAAGGGGAUCAAACAGG
rnacentral:rRNA from 1 species